rnacentral:rRNA from 1 species
CCCUUAGAUGUUCUGGGCCGCACGCGUGCUACACUGAGUGGAUCAGCGGGUCAGGUUGCGCGAAAGCGUUUCCUAAUCUUUAAAUCCGCUCGUGAUGGGGAUUGACGGUUGCAAUUUUCUGUCAUGAACGAGGAAUACCUUGUAAGCGCGGGUCAUCAUCCCGCGCUGAAUACGUCCCUGCCCUUUGUACACACCGCCCGUCGCUACUACCGAUUGAAUGGCUUAGUGAGCCCGAGGGACUGUUGCACCUAGAGGGUUUUCUCUCCAGGAGCAGCCGGGAACUCGGUCAAACUUGAUCAUUUAGAGGAAGUAAAAGUCGUAACA